rnacentral:rRNA from 1 species
GGGGAAUUUUCCGCAAUGGGCGAAAGCCUGACGGAGCAAUACCGCGUGAGGGAGGAAGGCUCUUGGGUUGUAAACCUCUUUUGUCAGGGAAGAAGAUCUGACGGUACCUGACGAAUCAGCAUCGGCUAACUCCGUGCCAGCAGCCGCGGUAAUACGGGGGAUGCAAGCGUUAUCCGGAAUUAUUGGGCGUAAAGCGUCCGCAGGUGGUUGUUCAAGUCUGCUGUUAAAGCGUGGGGCUUAACUCCAUAUAGGCAGUGGAAACUGGACGACUAGAGUACGGUAGGGGUCGCGGGAAUUCCCAGUGUAGCGGUGAAAUGCGUAGAUAUUGGGAAGAACACCAGUGGCGAAAGCGCGCGGCUGGACCUGUACUGACACUGAGGGACGAAAGCUAGGGGAGCGAAAGGGAUUAGAUACCCCUGUAGUCCUAGCUGUAAACGAUGGAUACUAGGUGUUGCCCGUAUCGACCCGGGCAGUGCCGUAGCUAACGCGUUAAGUAUCCCGCCUGGGGAGUACGCACGCAAGUGUGAAACUCAAAGGAAUUGACGGGGGCCCGCACAAGCGGUGGAGUAUGUGGUUUAAUUCGAUGCAACGCGAAGAACCUUACCAGGACUUGACAUGUCGCGAAUCUCGGUGAAAGCUGAGAGUGCCUUCGGGAGCGCGAACACAGGUGGUGCAUGGCUGUCGUCAGCUCGUGUCGUGAGAUGUUGGGUUAAGUCCCGCAACGAGCGCAACCCUCGUUUUUAGUUGCCAUCAUUCAGUUGGGCACUCUAGAGAGACUGCCGGUGACAAACCGGAGGAAGGUGGGGAUGACGUCAAGUCAUCAUGCCCCUUACGUCCUGGGCUACACACGUACUACAAUGCUAGGGACAGAGGGUCGCAAGCUCGCGAGAGCAAGCCAAUCCCAUAAACCCUGGCUCAGUUCAGAUUGCAGGCUGCAACUCGCCUGCAUGAAGGCGGAAUCGCUAGUAAUCGCAGGUCAGCAUACUGCGGUGAAUACGUUCCCGGGCCUUGUACACACCGCCCGUCACACCAUGGAAGUUGGUCACGCCCGAAGUCAUUACUUCAACCCUUCGGGGAGGAGGAUGCCGAAGGCAGGGCUGAUGACUGGGGUGAAGUCGUAACAAGGUAGCCGUACCGGAAGGUGUGGCUGGAUCACCUCCU